CCUACGGGCUGCACCAGUGGGGAAUAUUGCACAAUGGGCGCAAGCCUGAUGCAGCCAUGCCGCGUGUAUGAAGAAGGCCUUAGGGUUGUAAAGUACUUUCAGUUGGGAGGAAGGCGUUGAUUCUAAUAUCAUCAACGAUUGACAUUACCAACAGAAGAAGCACCGGCUAACUCCGUGCCAGCAGCCGCGGUAAUACGGAGGGUGCAAGCGUUAAUCGGAAUUACUGGGCGUAAAGCGCACGCAGGCGGUUGAUUAAGUUAGAUGUGAAAUCCCCGGGCUUAACCUGGGAAUGGCAUCUAAGACUGGUCAGCUAGAGCCUUGUAGAGGGGGGUAGAAUUCCAUGUGUAGCGGUGAAAUGCGUAGAGAUGUGGAGGAAUACCGGUGGCGAAGGCGGCCCCCUGGACAAAGACUGACGCUCAGGUGCGAAAGCGUGGGGAGCAAGCAGGAUUAGAUACCCUCGUAGUC
rnacentral:rRNA from 1 species